rnacentral:lncRNA from 1 species
UCAGGAUGGAUACUGAGGAAGUCUCUAAAAACAGUGUCUUGGAGGACAACAUCUUUGAUGGACAGAAGAAUUAGGCAAGGGAUUCAGGCUGGAAGGACCUUGGAAAGGCCUGCAAAAAAGGCACUAAAAGACAGAAAAAUGAAUUCUGCCUCAAGAAACUGCAAAGUAGAGGGACAACAACUUGCUCAAAAAUAACAUUCUCAGGCUGAAAUCUUGCAGAACAGCAACCUAUAAAACAAUUAGAUGCACUAAUUGCCACAGGUGGAUGGAAACACUUCACCAGCUUCUCCUGAUUUGCUGAAGUCAUGGACCGAGGCAGUGAUUUGUCAGACGUCCUCUUGGCUUAUAUGUAAAGGCUAAUGAUGAAAAUAUGUAAUCAGCUUAGGCAAGAUCCAGUCCUGGAUAACCAUUUAACAUUGAAACCUGACCUACUACAAAAUGGAAAUCAGUAUCAUCAUCAACGCUGGAUAAAUCUGUGCAAGAAUUGUUACACUGAAAGGUGGCCAUAUUUCCAUACUGGGGGCGAAUCACUUACCAUUCCCGGCAGCAAUGGGCUGCAGUUAUUGACCAAUUUGGAAAACGCAGAUGUACUAUCUAUUCUGUGUACCUAUUACAUCCACUAUGUUUUCAAAGAAACAGCCAGCCCCAAGGAAAACUCUGAAGCCUCCAGCACAUGGCUGCUUGGAAGUAAACAGCCUGGUUCCCCUGUGCUGGGAUGGGACCUGGACUGACACCACUGCUUUGUUCUUGGGCUCCAGCAAGGACAGGGAUUAUAUUUACAACAUGCAACUGUGAGAAGAUGAGGACAGAGGAGGUGGUCGAAUGGAAGAGAAGAGUGUGUGGCUUAUUGUUCUGUUAGCAGAGUGAAAUGACAGCACGACAGGAAAUUUGGAAAGCUUUUCCUAAGUUACUCAGAUAGUUGGAUGUUUAACUUCGCUCCCGUUUUAGAGUUUUUUUCACAGUAUGACUUCCUAGUGACACCUUUCUAGCAGUGAUAUUAGCUAUAGCAAAUAUUUUUAAAACCUGACUCUUUUGAGAACUAAGUUUUGGUCUAUCAACUCAACUCUGGUUUCCCCUAGGCACUUGGGACACUCCAAAUUGUAAACAACAUAUCAACAGACAUGGACUCAGAGAGGUCCCAUAGCAGACCGAAUGUUGGUCCAACCACACUCUUGAUCUGCCACUGAGAACCGGUGUUACCAGAUAUAGAAAUGCUUGUCUAUACAUGCACCCUAAAUGUGUAUCUGUCUGGAGCUGGGCCAAAAUUGAUCCUGACUUCAUUCAAUAUUGAAAAGGCAAAAUGAAAAAGUAGAGAUUACUCCAACAGUGAUAUCCAUCCAUUUUCAACUAAUUUUUUUUUUGGAAGAGAAAUGUAACAAAUACAAUGAAUCACAAUUCAGACAUUUGCAAAGAUCUUACAGUGACAAACAAUAAAUAUAAUUCCAAAUGAGAAAAAUGAGUGGUU